UGGCUCAGUGGUAGAGCACUCACCUAACAUGCGGGAGGCCCUGGGUUCGAUCCUCAG
rnacentral:tRNA from 1 species